GUGGGAAUAUACCUUUUGGUUCGGAACAACGCAGGGAAACUUGCGCUAAUACCGAAUGUGCCCUUACGGGGAAAGAUUUAUCGCCAAAGGAUUAGCCCGCGUCCGAUUAGCUAGUUGGUGAGGUAAUGGCUCACCAAGGCUCCGAUCGGUAGCUGUUCUGAGAGGAAGAUCAGCCACACUGGGACUGAGACACGGCCCAGACUCCUACGGGAGGCAGCAGUUGGGAAUCUUGGACAAUGGGGGAAACCCUGAUCCAGCCAUGCCGCGUGAGUGAUGAAGGCCUUCGGGUUGUAAAACUCUUUCGACGGGGACGAUAAUGACGGUACCCGUAGAAGAAGCUCCGGCUAACUUCGUGCCAGCAGCCGCGGUAAUACGAAGGGGGCUAGCGUUGUUCGGAAUUACUGGGCGUAAAGCGCGCGCAGGCGGUUUUUCAAGUCAGUGGUGAAAGCCCGGAGCUCAACUCCGGAACUGCCAUUGAAACUGUGAAACUUGAGGAUGAGAGAGGUGAGUGGAAUU
rnacentral:rRNA from 1 species